CACAGACAGGCUGCCACUGCGAGGAGUGAAACCAAUUUGCAUCUUGCCAACUUAUUCCAACGAUGUUUCAGUUCUCCUUUUGGAACUGCAGCCUAGGAAGAAAAGGCAGGACAUGCCGAGUGAGUGAACAGUGUGCAUAAGGUGAGAAAGCAGUCCCAAUUAACUGUCAGGGAGGAUGGUAGAAGUGAGCAGGGAAGAAGACUUACACUGUCUUUGAUAAGCAAUGUCAGCCUGUUCUUCAAAGUGCCCGUUCAGAGAGCACUGACGUCUCCAGCUGGAAGCAGACAUGAAGGACAGACUCAAGCCUGCUGAAGAGGCCCUGCUUCUCCAUGGAGGCCAGGCAUGAGAGCAGAACACCUCUGAAUUUCAAAGUCUUCUGAGGCUUGCUUCCUGAAGACAGCAGUGCGAGUUUGCUCUCGGCACAACACUGUUUGCGCCAAUGACAUCGCUUACAUGCAAAAUUAAGCAAAAAUCACACAAGGACUGGCCACUUGGUAUUGGAUAAGGAGCCAGAUAUUCAUCCUUGGGGAAGACUAAUUCUCCGUCUCUUGGCAGUUGCUGACUGCUUGGAGCUCUUCAGCUACUGG